rnacentral:rRNA from 1 species
UACAGAGGUCUCAAGCGUUGUUCGGAUUCAUUGGGCGUAAAGGGUGCGUAGGCGGCGCGGUAAGUCGGGUGUGAAAUCUUGGAGCUUAACUCCGAAACUGCAUUCGAUACUGCCGUGCUUGAGGACUGGAGAGGAGACUGGAAUUUACGGUGUAGCGGUGAAAUGCGUAGAUAUCUGGAGGAAUACCGGCGGCGAAGGCGGCAUCCUGGACCGAGAUUGACGCUGAUGAGCGAAAGCUAGGGGAGCAAACGGG